rnacentral:rRNA from 1 species
GGAUCGCCCUUCCUACGGGAGGCAGCAGUAAGGAAUAUUGGUCAAUGGACGCAAGUCUGAACCAGCCAUGCCGCGUGAAGGAUGAAGGUCCUCUGGAUUGUAAACUUCUUUUAUAGGGGACGAAAAAAGGGAAUUCUUUCUCGUCUGACGGUACCCUAGGAAUAAGCACCGGCUAACUCCGUGCCAGCAGCCGCGGUAAUAAGGGCGAUCCC